rnacentral:tRNA from 1 species
GCGAGAGUGGCGGAACUGGCAGACGCGCUAGACUUAGGAUCUAGUGGGGUAGCACCCAUAGGGGUUCAAGUCCCCUCUCUCGCACCA